rnacentral:rRNA from 1 species
UACGUAGGUGGCAAGCGUUGUCCGGAUUUACUGGGCGUAAAGAGCGCGCAGGCGGUCGGAUAAGUCGAAUGUGAAAGCCCCCGGCUCAACUGGGGAGGGUCAUUCGAUACUGUUCGACUCGAAGGCAGGAGAGGGAAGUGGAAUUCCUGGUGUAGCGGUGAAAUGCGCAGAUAUCAGGAAGAACACCAAUGGCGAAAGCAGCUCUCUGGGACGGUACUGACGCUGAGACGCGAAAGCGUGGGGAGCGAACAGG